GCCUGUCCUCCCGCCCGCGGCCCGCAGCUGCCCCCCGCCCCGGCGCCCGCACAGGGCCCGGCCGAGGGUCGGGCAGAGAGGGCCUGGGGUCAGCUCGGGGGGCUCGGGGUCUCAGCAGCCCCGCCCCGGCCCCCAGCGCCACCUCCCUCCCGCGCCAGCCGCCGCCCGGCUGCACUCCCAGCCCCGCCGCGGGCGCUAGGUGAGAGGCGAGUAGGUUCCGGCGACCUCGAAGGAGACAAAGCUUGGCGCUUUUGAAAGAGUUUGGAAGUGCUGUUCAAAGUCAUCCCUUUGAGGUCAGCUCCAUUUUCACAUUUGUUUUAUUGUAAACGACAACGAUGUUUCAAAGGUGCUUUCGAGUGAUCUCGUUUGAAAAUAUGAAGCAGUGAGGGCAUUUAUAGCCCCAUUUUACAGAUGAAUUAACUGGGUCGGCCAGAGGUUAGAAGACCUGCCAGAAGCCACACAGCUUGUCCGUGGUGUAACUGGACCGUCGCCCAGGCUCCCCGUGCUAAAACCGCACACUGGAACUUUUCUAGUGCGAAUGAGACCAACGUACGAAGUUACAUGCAGGAUCUUACGUCCCCCAUCCGGGCUUGAACCCAUGCCCCCUGCAGUGGAAGCUCAGAGUCUUAACCACUGGACCACGAGGUCCAGUGUGCAGUAAUGGAUAUCAUCCAAUCAUUAACUCAAGAAUCCACAGUUCUGAAAAGGGAUCCUGACCCAGCUAAUACCCUCCUUGGACUCAGGUCAUAUGCACACCAGAGGAUGAUCAUCACCGCAGCCUUCACAUCUAGACAAACUUAACAUCUAGUACAAACUCAACUCAUCCCCGAGAGGUCACCUGGUUGCUUACUUAACGUCUGUGGAAUAAAUGAAGAAGGCAAGAAAAAUAUUUAUCCUGUUAGGCCAAUCUUGACCAGUAAGAUGACUAAGAGAACCAUACUGGCCAUGGUGAUGGGGAAGAUGCCUUGCCGGGAUGUCCCUGGGAUCCUCCCUUCGUACCAGUUCUCGUCCACCUGUCGGAGCAGCGUGAUCCUCUCGCCCUGCAAGACACAGAAAGGCAAGGGUCCUUGUCCUUGCAGGCCUUGGCACGUCUGAGGCCCCUGCCUGUACCUUGUGCUCUCCUGCCUUAUUUAUUACAUUCUUUGUUCAGAAAAACCUUCUUUGCUAGACCUGCAUGGAAUUAGUUAUCACUGGGAUGGAGAUGUUAACAGCAGUAGAGAUACCUGGAGGCUGUUAAGCUUGGUCUUUACAUAUUUUGGUAAAGGAGAAGGUCAGACUCAUUCUCUCAGGCUAACAGGCAAACAUAGUAUUUUUGACUCAUCUAAUGCAAAACAGACAGAUAUCCAAUCUUCUUCUCUAAGGUAAAGGUUUUUGGGGUUCUUUUUCUUUUUUUUAUGUAAUUUUAUUUUUUCCUGUAUUAUUACAGAAAAAUUAAAAUAUAAACAUGAGGCAGAAAAUAAUCAUUACCAUAAUAUUAUCACUUUGGGGGGUAACCACUGUUAAUAUUUUGGUGUAGAUAAUGCCAUGUGAAUUAGACUUGCACAUACUUUUUUCUUAUGAAAACUGAAUAUGCACUCUAUUCCCCUUUCCAACUUGCUUUUUUAUACUCAAUAACAUACAGUGAACCUCCUUCUUUAUCAAGAAAUAUAAUUCUACAUUUUUCCUGGCGGUGCACAGCUUAAUGGCGCACUGCAGGAUGUUCUAUUGUACACACAUAUAAUGGUUUAAUUAUUGGUCUCCCGAUGUAGGGCCAUUAGUUUGCUUCCAGUGUUUCUCUUUUCUAUAAGCUGGCUCAUUGUUUUCCAAGGCAUAAGCUCACUUCCCUCAAUCCUCAGUAAAAUUAGUAACUUUAAUACCUUCAGCCAGUAGAGAACUUUGGCAUGUAAAGAGAGCGUCUGAAUUCGUGGGAAGGACAGUGUCUCUGCACAGCUUAACUGUGUUCAAAAUAAGCAUGAGUGCCUUGAAGGCAAUGAUAACACUGUCAUCUCCUGCUCAGUGAGCCCCAACCAGAUGCCACGUGUCACACUGGGGGCUUCACUGAGGCUGUUUCAUUAAAUCCUCUCACAGAAGCUCUGGAAGAGGGCCAUUUAUCUUCAUCUUACAUAUGAAAAAUCGCAGCUCUGAACAAUUAUUUAACUCCCCCAAAGCCACACAGCUGAUAACCUAUGACUCUUGGCUUCAAAGUUUCUCAAACUUCUCCUGGACUUCCUUUGUCCACAUUAAUGUUGUACCACCUAGUUACCAACACAGCACUUCUCACAUUACUAGGUGCUCGAUAAACACUGAAUACGGUUUACAAAAGAGGUAGGUCUGUGAGAAAUCAUGGACCUUUCAUUAGUGAACUCAAUGUAGGGUUUGUUUUUUUUUAAUACUUCAUGGCAGAAAUCCUCCAACUGCCCUCUGUGCAAUCCUGGAUGGGGCACGGAGCUUGGGGGCACGACAGCCUCACCACAAUGGCCACCGCUGCAGUGCCCCAUCCCCACAACGACAGCGCCACCCAGCGGGGCCCCCGGGCAUGGGAUGAGAGGGCAGCUUACCUUUCUGAAGGACAUCUCUACUUGUGUAUCACCAUUAAAGUUAAACUUGGCAAUAGCUUCGCCAUAUUCCAGAACCUGCACUGGUGCCAGCUUUUUGGGCUGAGCCUUCUCAGCAGGAGGAAGAAGCUGAGAAAGGAAAAAAGAGGCAAAGGAGAAUGGAAAAGAGAAGAAAGCAGAGAAAUGAAAGGAGGAAACAAAACACAAGUUAAAUGAAUUGCGCUUUGGGCACAACCAGGCUUUUCCUUAGAAAGAGAAAGAGCCAGAGUACCUCAAUGUAGGUGCGGGGGAAGAUUCCCACCCGGCCGUGGUGCUCUCCUUCAUACCAGUUCUGAUCGAUCUGCUUAUAAAUGUACACGACGUCUCCCUUCUGCAGAGGGAGCUCCCUGUGGACAGAGGGUCACAGCAUCUUAUCAGAUGUCCCAAUGUGUGUAAGAUUAAGAUGCUCCUUGUUUUAGCAAAAGGAGACUUCGAGUGAGGUCAAACGGGACAAGUUACGGGAGAGGCGGCUCCAUAUGUGGAUGCGAGAACCCCACUGUUCAGGAAACUGCAGCAUAUUUGGCAUUUUUCCAGUCUUGUGGGAUGAAGGUUAACUUUCAGACUGACAACCACUUGAAAGUGCUCAGACACCUUAUUAGUUCGUAUUUUUUGUCAAUAUGCUGUCUUAUGCUCAGAAUAUUUAUGUAACACACAGUGAUGCACCCAGCAGUCUUAGCUGCUGUUCAUUAAUGAAAAAUGUUUCCUUCUAGAUACUUUCACUACCCUCUUCUAUGCCCUAGAAAUGCAUGCCUUCAUUACCCAUGACAUUUAAAUUACCCACAAAUUGUUUGUGACAUACUGAUAUCCUUUUAUCAUUCUAUCCAUUUAGCCAUCCAUCCACCACUCAUUUCGUUACCCAUUCAUCCGUCCAUCCAUCCAUCAUGCAGUAGAAACGCUCUGAUAUUAGGCAGAUCUGGGUUCAAAACCCAGUUAUAUCAUUUACCAGCUCUGCUACCUUGGGCAAGAUAUUUAAUCUCUCUGAGAUACUUUCUUUAUCUGAAAAUAGGAGCUAACUUAGAGUUGUUGGAGAAUUCACCGACAAACUACAAAUAAAACACCUAGCACGGUGCCUGUUACAUAGUUAACACUCAGUAAAUGUUAGUUCACUUUCUUUUCAACAUGGAAAAGGGAUCUUGGAAAGAAAAGUGGAUUUUCCUUCAAAUGUUCUUCACGCCCCUUUUCAACUUUUCCAUACACAUCCCUUUGUUUGCCUCAAUAAUAUGUUAACCGCUAACCAGGACUCCAUUUUAAAAACUGAGAGAGAAAGAUACAUUUUAAGCAACACAAAAACUGUACCUUGAAAUUUUCUUGCAUUAAAAAAAAAAAAAAUGGGGCUUCCCUGGUGGCAUAGUGGUUAAGAAUCUGCCUGCCAAUGCAGAGGACACAGGUUCGAGCCCUGGUCCAGGAAGAUCCCACAUGCCAUGGGGCAACUAAGCCCGUGCGUCAUAACUACUGAGCCUGCGCUCUAGAACCCGCAAGGCACAACUACUGAGCCCGAGUGCCACAACUACUGAAGCCCGCACGCCUAGAGCCCGUACUCCACAACAAGAGAAGCCACUGCAAGGAGAAGCCCGCGCACCGCAACGAAGAGUAGCCCCCACUCGCCGCAACUAGAGAAAGCCCGUGCGCAGCAACGAAGACCCAACGCAGCCAAAAAAAAAGAAAAAAAUGACCUACAUCUUUUCCAUUUGCCUCAAACCAACAGCAUGUAAAGACAGGACUCUGACUGCAAUUUGGAGGGGGUGUGCCUGCUUUGCAGUGUGCCAGGAAGUCCCACGGUACGUGAGGGAUGCUGGCUAAACAAAGGGUCACAUCUGGAAAACCUCACACAAAGUCAGCACUGUGCUGGAUGAGAGAACAAGGCAGCCUGUGUGGGGCUUGCACUGGUAGGCAGGAUUCUAACCCUAAAGAGGCCUGUGAAGGGGAUCCGGGGCAUUUGUCUCUGGAGGAAAGAAGGUCUUUGGCCAAAUUCUUGCCACAGCCCUCCCUGGGGGAGUUCUGAAUCCUCCCCUCCAUUUACUCCCAACUAUGGACACACAGAUGAGCAGAACCCUCAGAAUAUCCACCCCUGCUGGAGAUCCGCAGGCUCCAAACUCUGCCACCCUAAGUGACUCUCAGGUCAUUUAGGCACAUGGCAAGGUCUGGUAAUAACAAGGUUUGGGAAACAAUAAUAUGAUGUACUUUAGAUCUUUUCUGGAGUGUCACCACGUACAUUAGCACAGUGGAAGCUUGGAGGAAGCCCUGUGGGACAGAAACCUGUUUAACUUGGUUGAAACGAGCGCUCCCAUAGAACACUUUUUUGAGUAACAUACUAUGGAGGAAAACAGAACCCAGUGACUGGAGAUGUUUAAAAUACUCAAGUCUAUGGAUCUUUCGUUUUCUCUUUAAAAAGUUUUAUUAACUUUUCUUGGGAGGCAACGUGGUACCAUGAAAGCACUGGGUCAGGAGGAAGGAGCCCUGUCCCAGCAUGAGCAACGUUGGUAAAUGGUGAUGAGUUCUGUCUAUCUUAGCCUUCUCAUCUGUUCUAUUUGUGAGGAUUUUUAAAUGAAAUCUAGCUAAAUGUAAUAUCACAAUACCAUUCAAUGACUACAUGGAACUUUCUUGAUUCAAAGAAAAAAGAGGAAAAGGUACCUCUUGAUUAAACUAAAAAAUUAAUUUACAUAACUUUUUUUUUUUUUUUAAUAACCAGAGGUCUCUGGUUUUAAAAAAGGAGGGGGACGCUUUUGCUACACUAUGCAACAUAUCUUACAAGUAUUACCUUGGCUGCCCUGCAAGAGAGGCAUUUUUAUGCCCAUUUUACAGAUGAGGAAAUUUGAGGUGGAGAGGUUGGUGAUUUGCCCAUAUCAGAGGCAAUAAGUGGCAUAGUCGGGAUUCAAACCCAGGACUUCCUGACUCUAGAGCCCAUAAUCAACCCAGCACGUUAUGCCACCACCUCUCAUUAGGUGACAAGCUAAAGCACUGGAGUAAUUACAGGCAAAGCCAAAUGCACCAGAUUUGUGCCUAGGUUCUGGAAACAGUAGGCUAGUCACUCAUUUUGUGUUGGAGGAGAUUGGAACCACAGCUGAGCAGCCUCCACGCAGCAUUUCCCAGCGUCCAAGGAUGGAGGGCUUUCCUUCCCCUUUCAUCACCAGGACAGCAGGAUGGCUGCUGUUCACUGUUGCCAAUGAACACUCACAGCCCAUUUUAAUCCAUAAUUAGAUAUGAAGUGAGCAAGUUCCUCUAGGAACCCAGUCAUUUCUCAAAUUUCAUUCUACGGAAAGUGGAAAGGUUUUCUGGUCAUCUAAAUUUAGGUAACAUUGGCUAAAUCAGCUAAUUAGUUUUCUUUAUUGAAAAACUUCUAGAGAGCCGUUAAUAUGUCAAUAGCAAAGUCUCUCUUCAAGGAGGGGCAGGAGGUACAGACAUAGGAUGCAGUGGUUCCCAGACUCAUUUCUAGGAUGGAACACUAUUUGAGAAAUAUUUACAGAGCCAGCACUCUGAGGAACAUACUUAGAGAAAUGCUGGUCUCCUGUGGGUUCACAUAAGCCUUUAAUCUCUUGGGAUGUUGUAGCAAAACUGGCAAAGUUAUCUUCCUAGAGACUGGUUCUGGUUCCUUCCGUAGAGAAAGUCAGAUCAAGCCACCACUUAAUGAAGCAAACUGAGUCCCUACAAAGGAAGUAGCAGAGCAGCACAGAGGUGAGAGCCCAGGCUCUGGCACCAGGCUACCUGGAUUUGAAUCCCGACUCCAUCGCUGACCAGCUUGGGCAAGUUCCUUAACCUUGCAGAAUCUUGGUUUCCCCAUGACUACCAGGGAAAUAACAAACAAUAGCACCAACCCCACAGGGUUCCAAUAAGGGAUGAAUGAGUUAACAUACGUAAAGUACUUUGAAUGGCGCUUGCACAUAGUAAAAUCUAAGAACUACGGUUUCUUGUUAUUUUCUCCCACUCUUCUCUAUGAGUGAACUUCUGUGUU